CCUACGGGCGGCAGCAGUGGGGAAUAUUGGACAAUGGGGGGAACCCUGAUCCAGCCAUGCCGCGUGUGUGAAGAAGGCCCUCGGGUUGUAAAGCACUUUCAGUGAGGAAGAACGCCUGGUGGUUAAUACCCAUCAGGAAAGACAUCACUCACAGAAGAAGCACCGGCUAACUCCGUGCCAGCAGCCGCGGUAAUACGGAGGGUGCGAGCGUUAAUCGGAAUUACUGGGCGUAAAGCGCGCGUAGGUGGCUUGAUAAGCCGGUUGUGAAAGCCACGGGCUCAACCUGGGAACGGCAUCCGGAACUGUCAAGCUAGAGUGCAGGAGAGGAAGGUAGAAUUCCCGGUGUAGCGGUGAAAUGCGUAGAGAUCGGGAGGAAUACCAGUGGCGAAGGCGGCCUUCUGGACUGACACUGACACUGAGGUGCGAAAGCGUGGGUAGCAAACAGGAUUAGAUACCCCGGUAGUC
rnacentral:rRNA from 1 species